rfam:Camelus ferus unplaced genomic scaffold scaffold693, whole genome shotgun sequence.
GGGGAUACAGCUCAAGUGGUAGAUCACAUGCUUAGCAUGCAUAAGGUCCUGGGUUCAAUCUCCAGUACCUCCU